CUCAGGUCGAACGCUGGCGGCGUGCUUAACACAUGCAAGUCGAGCGAGAAGUUGCCGAAUGAACUUUCGAGUGAAUUUGGCAGUGGAAAACGGCGGACGGGUGAGUAACGCGUGGGCAAUCUGCCCCAAACUGCGGGAUAACACAGGGAAACCGGUGCUAAUACCGCAUGAAACCAUAAUGCAGCAUUGCAUAAUGGUCAAAGGGAUACCGGUUUGGGAUGAGCCCGCGUCCGAUUAGCUAGUGGGUGAGGUAACGGCCCACCCAGGCAACGAUCGGUAGCCGGACUGAGAGGUUGGCCGGCCACAUUGGGACUGAGACACGGCCCAGACUUCUACGGAAAGCAGCAGUGGGGGAUAUUGCACAAUGGGGGAAACCCUGAUGCAGCAACGUCGCGUGAAGGAAGAAGGCCUUCGGGUCGUAAACUUCUUUGAUUGGGGACGAAAAAUGACGGUACCCAGAAAACAAGCCACGGCUAACUACGUGCCAGCAGCCGCGGUAACACGUAGGUGGCAAGCGUUGUCCGGAAUUACUGGGUGUAAAGGGCGUGCAGGCGGGGAUGUAAGUCAGGUGUGAAAGACCACGGCUCAACUGUGGGGUUGCAUCUGAAACUAUAUUUCUUGAGUGCUGGAGAGGGAAGUGGAAUUCCUAGUGUAGCGGUGAAAUGCGUAGAUAUUAGGAGGAACACCAGUGGCGAAGGCGGCUUCCUGGACAGUAACUGACGCUGAGGCGCGAAAGCGUGGGGAGCGAACAGGAUUAGAUACCCUGGUAGUCCACGCUGUAAACGAUGGAUACUAGGUGUAGGAGGUAUCGACCCCUUCUGUGCCGGAGUAAACGCAUUAAGUAUCCCACCUGGGGAGCACGACCGCAAGGUUGAAACUCAAAAGAAUUGACGGGGGCCCGCACAAGCAGUGGAGUAUGUGGUUUAAUUCGAAGCAACGCGAAGAACCUUACCAGGGCUUGACAUCCUCUGGCGACUCUAGAGAUAGAGUUUUCCUUCGGGACAGAGAGACAGGUGGUGCAUGGUUGUCGUCAGCUCGUGUCGUGAGAUGUUGGGUUAAGUCCCGCAACGAGCGCAACCCUUAUCGUUAGUUGCCAGCAUUAAGUUGGGAACUCUAGCGAGACUGCCGGUGACAAAUCGGAGGAAGGUGGGGAUGACGUCAAAUCAUCAUGCCCCUUAUGUCCUGGGCCACACACGUACUACAAUGGCUGCUACAGAGGGAAGCGAAACCGCGAGGCGGAGCAAAUCCUAAAAAGCAGUCCCAGUUCGGAUUGCAGGCUGCAAUUCGCCUGCAUGAAGUCGGAAUUGCUAGUAAUGGCAGGUCAGCAUACUGCCGUGAAUACGUUCCCGGGCCUUGUACACACCGCCCGUCACACCAUGAGAGUCAGCAACGCCCGAAGUCAACUGUCCAACCCGUAAGGGGA
rnacentral:rRNA from 1 species